rnacentral:rRNA from 1 species
GACAGAGGAUGCAAGCUUUAUCCGGAAUGAUUGGGCGUAAAGCGUCUGUAGGUGGCUUUUCAAGUCCGCCGUCAAAUCCCAGGGCUUAACCCUGGACAGGCGGUGGAAACUACCAAGCUGGAGUACGGUAGGGGUAGAGGGAAUUUCCGGUGGAGCGGUGAAAUGCAUUGAGAUCGGAAAGAACACCAACGGCGAAAGCACUCUGCUGGGCCGACACUGACACUGAGAUACGAAAGCUAGGGGAGCAAAUGGG